rnacentral:rRNA from 1 species
GUGAGGAAUAUUGCGCAAUGGAGGCAACUCUGACGCAGCCAUGCCGCGUGCAGGAAGAAGGCGCUACGCGUUGUAAACUGCUUUUAACCGGGAAGAAACCCCAGGACGUGUCCUGGGUUGACGGUACCGGAGGAAUAAGCACCGGCUAACUUCGUGCCAGCAGCCGCGGUAAUACGAAGGGUGCAAGCGUUAUCCGGAUUCAUUGGGUUUAAAGGGUGCGUAGGCGGAGCGUUAAGUCAGUGGUGAAAUCCUGCAGCUUAACUGUAGACUUGCCAUUGAUACUGGCGCUCUUGAGUGCACUUGAAGUGGGCGGAAUGUGCCGUGUAGCGGUGAAAUGCUUAGAUAUGGCACAGAACACCAAUUGCGAAGGCAGCUCACUAAGGCGAUACUGACGCUGAGGCACGAAAGCGUGGGGAUCGAACAGGAUUAGAUACCCUGGUAGUCC